UUUGUAGCCAUGUGGAACUUGUUUUUUGGUUGUUAAUAACAUGCUGUUACUGACUUAUUGUUCUUUGUAUUCAUUCACAGGUGCUGUGUUAUGUGGCCAUGCAGAUUGUGUGACAGUAUAUUAUCUUCAAGGGGACCUUAUACCAGAGGGUGAGCUGGCUUGGCAAGUGAUACUAGACCUGAAGGAAAUCGUAGAGUUGGUUGUGGCACCUGUUCACACGCACGAGACCAUUGCGUACCUUGAUGUCAAAGUGUCUGAGCACAGACACAGGUUGCUUGAGCUUAUCCCAGCACCAUUUUGGGGCGUUCCAGUUGACAUUGUCACCAGGAAGAGAGGUUGCCCUUGUUCAGCUUGAGGAGCUGACGGAUUACUGUCCACUUGUGGCCUACACAGUCGGAUCCAGACGUAUGGUGACCCUGAAGAGACACAUCGUCAUUACAGAUUAGCAAAGCAGGAUGGCAGCACGAGUAACCUUCAGAGUCCUCUUUGGAGGUGAAGAGGAUGCAAGAAAACUCUCCAUUGAAUCCGGAAUACCAAGAACUGUGGAGGACUUGGCUCUUAAAAUCAAGACUUUCUUUGAAGUGACUGAGAAGUUCAGACUUCAGUACAAAGACAAAGACAUGGAUAAUCAGUUCAUGAAUCUCUUGUCAACAUCAGAACUUGAAGAUAAAGGGACUUUGAAAGUGGUGUACAUGCUUUGUGAGACAACCAGGUCCGCUUCACUCACGGGAGAUGCCUGCUGCACAAUCCCAGGUACUCCUUCCAAAGCCAGCUCUUCAUCACAAGAACCAAGUGAUUCAGACUCCCACUCCAGCAAUGAUACCAUCGUCUUGUCAUCGCCUGAGACCCGGUCCUGCCCCUGGCCUAGACCCUUUGUCGUGCCCCGCUUCUCAUCCUGUGCUGAGAUUAUGCUCCAGAAAGGAAAUGAUGAGUUCAAGGCACAGGGAACUGUUCUGUGUCCUACGGCAAAAGUACGCUCAGAUAUCCUUGAAGGCCUAGCUGAGGAAAUAAUAAA
ensembl:lncRNA